rnacentral:rRNA from 1 species
GUUCGUAGUGACUGCGGAGGAUCAUUACAGGUUAAAAAUGCCGUGAAAACGGCUAAAAAAAACCAUGAUCAUUCACUUUGUGCACUCAUUGAAAACUUUGCUUUGGCAGACUCUUUCGUUGAAUUUCGAAGGCUGGGUGUUUUUAGGGCCCAAGGUCUGCCAGAGUUUUAUUAUCAAAAUAGCCUUAUUGUUUGUCUGAAAUUUUUUAAAAUUAAAUAAAUACAACUUUCAACAACGGAUCUCUUGGCUCUCGCAUCGAUGAAGAACGCAGCGAAAUGCGAUACGUAAUGUGAAUUGCAGAUUCAGUGAAUCAUCGAAUCUUUGAACGCAUAUUGCACUCUCUGGCAUUCCGGAGAGUAUGCCUGUUUCAGCAUCAUAAAAACCUCGAAAUACUUGCAAUUUUUUUGUAAGUGGCUCGGAAUUGAACUCGUAGGUUUUCUCUUUAAAUCUACUGGUUUAAAAAAUCUCUCAUGUUUUUUGGUUUUCCGGAUCUUGUGAGCAAUCACAUUUUCUGGUCCUGAAAAGGUGUCAUUAGUUGACCUUUUGGUCAUCUUUCACCGAACUCAGGAAUCCUUAAUUCAUGCAAAAAUCAAAUUUUUUAAACUUGAUCUGAAAUCAGGCAAGAUUACCCGCUGAACUUAAGCAUAUCAUUAAGCGGAGGAAAAGAAACUAACAAGGAUUCCCCUAGUAACGGCGAGUGAAGCGGGAAAAGCUCAAAUUUGAAAUCUAGUACUUUCAGUACUCGAGUUGUAAGCUAAAGAGGCGUUUCCGGUGGCACUUGGAUAUAAGUCCCUUGGAAUGGGGUAUCAGAGAGGGUGAGAAUCCCGUCUUCGAUCCAGAGCAGCCUACUAUGUGAUACGUCUUCAAAGAGUCGGUUUGUUUGGGAAUGGAGACCUAAAUGGGUGGUAAAUUCCAUCUAAAGCUAAAUAUAGGCGAGAGACCGAUAGCGAACAAGUACCGUGAGGGAAAGAUGAAAAGAACUUUGAAAAGAGAGUUAAGAAGUACGUGAAAUUGUUGAAAGGGAAACGUUUGGAAUCAGUCUUGUGAGCAUGAAUUCAGCCUGACUUUUAGUUGGGUGCNUUUUCUUGUUUACAGGUCAGUGUCAGUUUUGGUUGUCAGAAAAAAGCUUUGAGAACGUAGCUCCUCCGGGAGUGUUAUAUCUCUUAGCCGAUAUGAUGACCGGGACUGAGGCUCGCAGCCAGCUAGUUUUCUAGCGGGACCACGUUCGCUGGUUGGAGUUUUGUUGAGGACAGCUUGCUGACCUUGAUGAAAUUUCUGGCCACACGUUCGUCCGGUCUCCUCCUGGCUUAGGUCACUGACAUAAUGGUUCCAAAUGACCCGUCUUGAAACACGGACCAAGGAGUCUAACAUGUCUGCGAGUAUUUGGGUGAUAAACCCGAGUGCGUAACGAAAGUGAACGUAGGUGGGAUCCGCAAGGAGCACCAUCGACCGAUCCGGAUUUUUUUGAUGGAUUUGAGUAGGAGCAGAUAUGCUGGGAUCCGAAAGAUGGUGAACUAUGCCUGAAUAGGGUGAAGCCAGAGGAAACUCUGGUGGAGGCUCGUAGCGAUUCUGACGUGCAAAUCGAUCGUCAAAUUUGGGUAUAGGGGCGAAAGACU